AGCAGCCGCGGUAAUUCCAGCUCCAAUAGCGUAUAUUAAAGUUGUUGCAGUUAAAAAGCUCGUAGUUGAAUUUCGGAAUCAGUACGCUGGUCGUGCCUUCGGUAUGUACUGGUGUCACUGAUUCCUCCCUUCUGAAGAACCAUCAUGCCAUUCACUUGGUGUGGUGGGGAAUCAGGACUGUCACUUUGAAAAAAUUAGAGUGUUUAAAGCAGGCUAACGCUUGAAUACAUUAGCAUGAAAUAAUGAAAUAGGACAUUCGAUCUUAUUUUGUUGGUUUCUAGGAUUGACGUAAUGAUUAAUAGGGAUAGUUGGGGGCAUUAGUAUUCAAUUGUCAGAGGUGAAAUUCUUGGAUUUAUUGAAGACUAACUAACUGCGAAAGCAUUUGCCAAGGAUGUUUUCAUUAAUCAGGAACGAAAGUUAGGGGAUCGAAGACGAUCAGAUACCGUCGUAGUCUUAACCAUAAACUAUGCCGACUAG
rnacentral:sRNA from 1 species